rfam:Bacillus cibi strain DSM 16189 Contig11, whole genome shotgun sequence.
UAAAUAACUUCAUUUAUACCGUAGACAGCAGGUGCUACCCAUGCUUAAUUUCCUGCCGAGGUGUAUAUAUGUGAACUAGUAAUUAGAUCGCUUGUAUAUAUACUGCCUCCAUGUCUGACGUGGAGGCAUUUCUUUUGAUAAGA